GGGGGGGGGGGGGGGGGGGGGGGGGGGGGGGGGGGGGGGGGGGGGGGGGGGGGGGGGGGGGGUGCCAUGGCGAGCUCGGAGGCUGGAGAGGAUGCUUUUCUCCCACGAUGGUCGCCAUGGGACCCCGCCGAUUGAAAGAAACGGAGCGAAUGAAUAAGAGGAGGGAGGUGGAGAGAAUAUUUAAUGAGUUUCCUCCGGGAAUUUGUGCCCGUUGCGGAAGAACUUGGAAAGGAGCAUCGGAUGAAAGAACCUGGUUCAGAACAUGAAGAAGGGAAGGCAAGGAUCCCCCAGCAUGAAUUGUGCCACUAAAAGGCCAAGAGGCAGAGCAGAAGAUGGGCAGCAAUGGUGUUUUUGUGGCUGUGCAUUGCUCAGAGCAGCAAUAGUUAAGAAAAGGUGACUCUAAAGAAAACAAGCAAAGAACCAACCUCAGUGACGUAUGUAAUGGAAAA
rnacentral:lncRNA from 12 species